GCCUGGGUGGCUCAGUGGUUGAGCAUCUGAUUUUGGACUAGGUUGUGAUAUGGGUUCCUGAGAUCAAGUCCCAUAUCAGGCU
rnacentral:tRNA from 1 species